UCCCACUACUCCUGGGCGGCAGCAGUGACCAUAGUACACAUCAGCCCCAAUACCCCUGUUAUCUCUCCACAGAACCCAAUCAUGAAGUUUCUGAUUCGUCAUUCUUUAUCUAUUCUGGGAGGACCCUUACACUCGUGUUUCUCCUUGAAUGGUCCUUAAGAUCUGUUGUUUUCCUUUGAAGUUCUUCAUAUUUGGGUUUUAAUUCUUUAAG
rnacentral:lncRNA from 1 species